UACGUAGGGGGCAAGCGUUGUCCGGAAUCAUUGGGCGUAAAGAGCGUGUAGGCGGCCCGAUAAGUCCGCUGUGAAAGUCCAGGCUCAACCCUGGGAUGCCGGUGGAUACUGUCGGGCUCGAGUCCGGAAGAGGAGUGUGGAAUUCCUGGUGUAGCGGUGAAAUGCGCAGAUAUCAGGAGGAACACCAAUGCGAAGGCAGCUCGCUGGGACGUUACUGACGCUGAGACGCGAAAGCGUGGGGAGCAAACAGG
rnacentral:rRNA from 1 species